rnacentral:rRNA from 1 species
GGGAGGCAGCAGUGAGGAAUAUUGGACAAUGGAGGCAACUCUGAUCCAGCCAUGCCGCGUGCAGGAAGACGGCCCUAUGGGUUGUAAACUGCUUUUAUACGGGAAGAACCACAUCUACGUGUAGAUGCUUGACGGUACCGUAUGAAUAAGGACCGGCUAACUCCGUGCCAGCAGCCGCGGUAAUACGGAGGGUCCAAGCGUUAUCCGGAAUCAUUGGGUUUAAAGGGUCCGUAGGCGGGAUAAUAAGUCAGUGGUGAAAGUCUGCAGCUCAACUGUAGAAUUGCCAUUGAUACUGUUGUUCUUGAAUUAUUAUGAAGUGGUUGGAAUGAGUAGUGUAGCGGUGAAAUGCAUAGAUAUUACUCAGAACACCUAUUGCGAAGGCAGAUCACUAAUAAUAUAUUGACGCUGAGGGACGAAAGCGUAGGUAGCGAACAGGAUUAGAUACCCUGGUAGUCUACGCCGUAAACGAUGGUUACUAGCUGUUCGGCUCGAUUGAGAGCUGAGUGGUUAAGCGAAAGUGAUAAGUAACCCACCUGGGGAGUACGUUCGCAAGAAUGAAACUCAAAGGAAUUGACGGGGGCCCGCACAAGCGGUGGAGCAUGUGGUUUAAUUCGAUGAUACGCGAGGAACCUUACCAGGGCUUAAAUGCAGUUGGACAGGUCUGGAAACAGACCCUUCUUCGGACUAAUUGCAAGGUGCUGCAUGGUUGUCGUCAGCUCGUGCCGUGAGGUGUCAGGUUAAGUCCUAUAACGAGCGCAACCCCUGUGGUUAGUUGCCAGCGAGUCAUGUCGGGAACUCUAGCCAGACUGCCAGUGCAAACUGUGAGGAAGGUGGGGAUGACGUCAAAUCAUCACGGCCC